UUCAUGUCAAUUCAUGCCCUACAAAUUCUUAACAACAAUUUGCAGCCAACAAAUUGGUCAGAGAUUACUUAGCUCUAAGUUGACCAAGAUUUUGGCAAAAGUUGUGAAUGAAUUGUGAGAUAGGUGAGCGAAAUUCCAUAAGCUACCAGUUACUAUUCGGCAACAAACGAAAUGAACGCUAAAGUUGUAUCGGAAGCCAGAAGGGCAAGUUUGGGCUGUCUGCCCCAACCAUCAGCCAAAAAUCUUGCCUCCCAACGCCGCCGUGCUCCUCCUCUCCUCCCGUCGAUGAGCUCCUCCUCUCUUCCCGCCGCCGGCACCUCCCUCAGCAGCGCCUCCGCCGCCGGGAUCCUCCUCUCCCAUCCGCCUCCUCUACUCCCUCAGCAGCGCCUCCGCCGCCUGCCCCUCUCGCGGUCGCCGUGCUCCUCCUCUCGCUUCGCCUUCCGCCGCCGCCUCACCUCCACCUUCCACCGCCGCCGUGCUGCACGUUCAUCGCAUCACCGGCGAAGGCGAGCCACCAGGCGUGAGAUGAUUCACCCGUCUAGUUCUUCUUCAUCUCGCAAUUCUUGAUUAGCUGCGUUUUUCUCUUUCCUGUGACUCCGAUGUGCCGAUUUGGUAGCUGCAGGACGUCAGGAAGGCCUUCAUCGAGGAAUCCCGCUGAUAUUACCAAAUCUCAAUGUCUAGGGAACCAUAUGUUAUCACGAGAUGUACUAGUACUCCAUCAGUUCACCAGCCUUUGCAGAGGCAGCCCAACUCUUAUCUGAAAGGAUAUGCUACUAUUCCAUCAUCUGUCCAUUUUAUUUCCUGUUGUCCCAAUGCUCAAAAUUUGUACUGUUAUCUGAAGAUUAUGAUGUCAUCUUUGUACCUAAGUACUUCCAAGCAAGUAGAUCUGGAGUCCAUAAAGGAGGGUUGCGUUCAACAGUGGUAAAGGCAGGCUUUGUGGCUACAAAAAAUUCACUUUCGUCAGCCAAUGCUUCUCAAAUCAUUCAGUUGCUCCAUGCUGUAUUUGCCCCUAGAAGGUGUCUUUAUAAAUAUUUUCUGUUUGAUCCAAGUUGUCAACUUAAGUAAUAUAAUUAUGUGAAUCAUAUGUAAAGAAGAAUGUUGUUUCCAGAUAUUAGUAGAAUAUUAUUUAGACAUGCCACUUGUGGUUAAUGAGCAUUGCUUACAUGGAGGUUUCACUGAUACUUAUGGUAAGCUAGCAAUACAUAUCUGAUUCUAACAUUGCUCUGAUAUGUAUUGUUAAGUAGUAAUAAAUUAGAUCCGAUUUAUGAAAUUGUUGGACGCUUUUUUUCUCAAGAAAACACAAAGCUAAGGUUUUAUGUGUAGACUAAUUAAUUCCACUUGUUAUUUUUUUUAAUUUACAUAUGAAAAUAACACUAAACUUGCACCUAAGGUUUUAUGUGUAAGACUAAUGGUCCAUGUUUCUCAAAGGUUGUGCAUGGAGAUGUUGUUCUUGAUGAAUUGCAGGUGUUGAUGAAUUGCUGGUGAGUGCAAAUUUGGGUCAUGCCCACAUUCUCAUUUGGCUUGUACUACUAGAGCACUAUCUUUGAUCACUUGUACUAAGGCUGAUACAAUCAGUCCGAAGUCCUUUUCCUUGGCCUUUCUGUAUGAACUGAAGAAUGACACGUGAAGUCUACACCUGGUAUUGGCCCUAUUGUUCCUGAAGCGUGCAGCGACUGUGGAAAGAAAUUUAAUGUGGGUGGACCAAUAUGGUCUGCUCCUGUUCAUGAUCAAAAUUCUCAGAAAUGCACCCAUGUUUGGUGAUUUUCAGUUGGGCUGUAGAAUAUUGUUGCACUUGCUUCAUACUGAAUGUAAAAGUCAAUAAGUUUGCUUGAAUUAUA